rnacentral:lncRNA from 1 species
UGUCUCGGACUACAUCGUAACAUGUGAAGAUUGGUUGGUUAUUGGUUAAUAAAAAAAAGUGACAAAUAUUUCAUGCAAAUUUAGGACGUGACAGUUAUCAAUACAUUAACAUACAAUAUGUAGGAUUACUCGAUCAGGGGUUUAGGUCUUGUAACUGUUGUAUAGGCCAUCCCGCACAACCAUACCAUUGUGAAUACCCCACAUGUCAAUGCAUGUUAGGCAAUAAACAGGGGUGGAUCCAGCCAU